rnacentral:rRNA from 1 species
UGGGGAAUCUUGCGCAAUGCGCGAAAGCGUGACGCAGCAACGCCGCGUGGAGGAAGACGGCCUUCGGGUUGUAAACUCCUUUCAGUUGGGACGAAGCUUCGCCGGUGAAUAGCCGGCUGGAGUGACGGUACCUUCACAAGAAGCACCGGCUAACUACGUGCCAGCAGCCGCGGUAAUACGUAGGGUGCAAGCGUUGUCCGGAAUCAUUGGGCGUAAAGCGCGUGUAGGCGGCUUGGUCAGUCAGCUGUGAAAGCCCAGGGCUCAACCCUGGGAUGCCGGUUGAUACUGCCAAGCUCGAGUCCGGAAGAGGAGUGUGGAAUUCCUGGUGUAGCGGUGAAAUGCGCAGAUAUCAGGAGGAACACCAAUGGCGAAGGCAGCACUCUGGGACGUGACUGACGCUGAGACGCGAAAGCGUGGGGAGCAAA